CAAUGAAGGAAGCAUGGUCAUGUGCACAUAAAUUGAUUUGGGUCUCUUGGCCUGCCCUCUCUGAUGCCAUUUGGCUUUGAUUUGAGGGCAUGAUUUUACAAAACGUAC